AUGCCCGUGACCUUCUCCUGUCCGUUGAUGCAGCUUCAGUAAAAAGAGUACUGGAUACCAGAAGCCAUUCGCACAUCCCCGUGACGGCUACUUUGUAUUCGGAUGUCUUCCAUAUCAACUUUCGAUGUCAGUUUCUGCACCUACCAUGUUGACCACGGGUAACAGGGAAUUAGGGUUCCAUUCCGUACAGGGACCCUGAGAAAUGGCUACCACAUGCAAGGAAGGCA